AAUAGAUACCCGGGUAGUCCACGCCGUAAACGAUGAGUGCUAAGUGUUAGAGGGUUUCCGCCCUUUAGUGCUGCAGCUAACGCAUUAAGCACUCCGCCUGGGGAGUACGGCCGCAAGGCUGAAACUCAAAGGAAUUGACGGGGGCCCGCACAAGCGGUGGAGCAUGUGGUUUAAUUCGAAGCAACGCGAAGAACCUUACCAGGUCUUGACAUCCUCUGACAGCCCUAGAGAUAGGGCUUUCCCCUUCGGGGGACAGAGUGACAGGUGGUGCAUGGUUGUCGUCAGCUCGUGUCGUGAGAUGUUGGGUUAAGUCCCGCAACGAGCGCAACCCUUGAUCUUAGUUGCCAGCAUUCAGUUGGGCACUCUAAGGUGACUGCCGGUGACAAACCGGAGGAAGGUGGGGAUGACGUCAAAUCAUCAUGCCCCUUAUGACCUGGGCUACACACGUGCUACAAUGGAUGGUACAAAGGGCUGCAAACCUGCGAAGGUAAGCGAAUCCCAUAAAGCCAUUCUCAGUUCGGAUUGCAGG
rnacentral:rRNA from 1 species